AGUUUAUGAAUCAUUUGACUUUCCUCGGAUUUCUUCAUUGACUUCUCUUCGCAGUCAUGGCUACUGGGACGCCAAAUGCUGUCAUAUCAUGUCUGUAAUGGAUCUCCAGCAUAUACACAGCCAGAGGGUUGCGUUUACACCAGCUCAUGUACAACUUGCAUGUGAUGGUGUAUACCUGGCUUUACCUCUCACCAGGUCAUCAAUUGGAAUCUGGAGUUUGCAGGAUAUAAGUUGCAAGCCUCUUGAUUUGGUUGGACACAGUAAAAUACUGACAGCUCUUGCACUUGGUAAUUUAUCGGUACCCAAACAGCUGGUAUCUGCUGCUGAAGAUUAUGUUAUCAUAUGGAACAUACAGCAAGCCAGGAAACAGUUUGAGAAAGGUGAGAAGAUAAAGGGCAGAGUGAUUGGUACCACACUAGGAUAUGUUCAGUAUUGUGCGUUUAGUCCCAAUGACACUCUGGUGGCUGUCUGUACUGGUUUUGAUAUUGUCAUUCUGCAAUCCACAAGAGAGAAUAAAGUAGCUGUGUUGGAAGGUCACAAUGGUACAGUUACAGCAGCAGAGUUUUGUCCACACUAUUCCUCUACAUUGGUCUCCAUAUCUGACGACAGGACUUUCAAAGUCUGGAACUUGGAGGAUCUAACACUUGUAUACCAGUCCCCAAUUUUGACAGCAUCUCCAUUUCUGAGUGUGGCAAUGAAUAUACAUGAACCAAGGGUUGCUAUAGGAGCAGCUGAUGGAGUGAUUCGUGUAUUUGACCUGACAGAUGGUAAUGGAUUUAGAUGCUUACAUCAACUUGAUGUUGGUAAGAUAAUUACCAAGGAAAAAGAUGCUAAAUUCAUGGCACAGAAUGAAGUUAAGAAAGGACCAGUUACUAUCAGCAGCAGGCCAACAUGGAAGCAGGCAGACAGGAAUAGCUCAGCAACAGAAUUACCUGACAACACUGAGGACAGUGUUGAGACGGGAUCCUCUGUCCUCUGUUUGUACUAUACCUAUGUACAACAAGAUAUCCUUGGAAGACAGGCAUCAACAAUAUCACGGGAUCUACCCUUCCUGUCAAACAAAACCAGCAGUAUAAGUGAUUUAUUAACAACAUCUCCCAUGUUGAUGGUGGGAACCACGGCAGGAUUACUGAAGGUCAAUGCUCGAACUUUAGAUUUGUGCAGUUACAUAGAUUUCCAAGAUCCCAUGGAUUGUGAGGACAGCCUGAACAAGGAUACAAAGGUAUUAAAUGCUGCUGGGACAGUUAUAUUUGGUCAGGGAGCUGAUGAUAAGAUGUGGUGUAUAGUUGGAAGCCCAUUUCAAAACAUAGUUCAUGUAUUAAAAUGGAGCCAGCCAAUUAAUAAAUUAGUGAACCAGGCACCAGCGUCACAGAGUGCUGGGAACCAAACAUCAGGGUUACAGAGUACAAAUGAUUUAACAGAUAUAGAAGGGAGAAUGUCAGCCUUGGAACCUCCUUCAAGGGCUGGAAGUACACAGAAACACCUAGAAAUAACAGUUCUAUCAAAAUCAGCUUUAUUGGAUGAUUCACCACUGAGGGCUGAUAUGACACCCAAACCUAAAGAUACAAAAGACAAAACUCCUAGAGAUUUUGUGACCCCAUCAAAGAAAGGUUCAAUUCUGGACAAGCAGCCUCUUACAUUUAAGACAAAAAUCAAAUCCUCAGGAUAUUCUACAGCUCCUAGGACAACUAUGUUCAAGCCACAAACAAAUAUUUCUGCAAAACCUAAAACAUUUGCUAAGUCAAGUGCAAGACAAACAAGGUCGGCACGAGAAUACCCUGUACAAGGUAGUCCACCAAUCAACCUCAGUACAAAGUUAGAAGUUGCUGAGAGACCCACAGCUGUCAAUGCAAUUACAGUGUCAGAUGGAGGACAGAAUUUAGCCUGUGCCCUUGCCAACAAGUCAGCCCUUGUGUUCAAUGUACCCUUAUCACAGAAAGGUUCAUCUGCUUAUACAGGACAUAACCACAUAGUUACAUGUGUAGACUGGAGUCAUACUGGUUCUCGGCUUCUAACAUCUUCUGAUGACAAGACAGCACGUGUAUGGGUCAAAGGUCAAGCAGAUCCUGUCAUGACUUUUGACAGGAUGGUGAAAAAUACAGCCAUUAUGGAAAGUCAAAUAAACAAUAAAGAUAACAAAGCAUAUAGUAAAGAAGUACAUUUUGGACAGUUCUAUUUCAUGGACAAGUUUAUUCUGUUGUGUGUGGGGAACCAGCUGCUCAUGUAUAAAUAUCAUAUAGAUACCACCAAAAAUGAUAUACAGAGGUAUUUACCACAGAGUAAAUAUAAGCUGGUACAAGAAUGGAGUAUGGAAUCUCAGCAAGUAUCAGCCAUGUCAGCCAUUAACAGUUUCCUCUCUUAUAUUGUACUGUGUGCAUGCAGCAACAAGAGUAUAGAAGUGAUUGAUAUGAAUACUGGUCAGAGAGUGAGAAAAAUGACUGAAGUUCAUUCCAGACCAGUACAUGCAAUCUGCCAAAAUGAGGGUUCACAGUUUCGUUUCUCAUCCAUCAAAUGCCUAUGACCUGUUUGCCUCAGCUGCUGCUGGUGAUUGUAUCAAACUCUGGGAUCUAAGAACUAACAGAUGUGUUAGAAGAUAUGAGGGUCAUCUGAACAGAGUACAUCCGUGUGGUUUAUCAUUCAGUCCGUGUGGGAGAUUUAUUGCUACAGGAUCAGAGGAUAAAUGU
rnacentral:misc_RNA from 1 species